UUUAAAUGUGUGGGGUUUUUGUGUGUGUGUGUGUGUGUGUGUGUGUGUGUUUUUUAGCUUGCUUAGAGAACUCAUUGAAGGGCCGAGCUCACCCUUCCUUCUACUGUAGUUAAAGAGCCAAGCUCACCCUCUCUUCUCCUGGAGUUAAAGUCACUAAUAGACAAUUCAGCAGUUUCUGGACUUCAUAUUUUUUUUUUUUUAAUUUAAACUAAACAAAGUCCUGAACUUGAGAUAGAGCAUGCCAUUUCUCUUCCCGGUGCGGACCAUGUCUCUGUGUGCUCUGCUAAGGAUUUUUAGGUGAGAUGCGAUCUUAAUUAUCCAACGAUAAUUAAGGGGAGUGCAUGGCUAAUAGACAGUCUAGACUCCUCUGGCCAGAUCCAGAUCCUGGGAACAUCCUAUGACUCUGUGGCCUGGCUUGCUUGGUCUGUAAGGAGGUCACACAUGUGUUGACUUUUGUCAUGGGAUAGAUAUUCAAAUGGCAAGAGACCCUGGAGGGUAUGGACUUGGUUCAACUGGUUAGCUUCCUCCUCUGCUUCUCUGAGGAAAGCUUAGCUUAUCAUGAUCUCUAAAACUGCUUUUACCCUGCAGAGGUGACACCCUUUUGAUACUGUUGAGGGGCUGUUGAUGCCUUAACGCUGGCUUGGCAUCCAUGUAAACUUUUGUUUACAUGGGAUUAAUGCCAGUGCACAUAUGUUGUGUGUCCUUCCAGUGAAGAAUUUUGACCUAAUAAACUUUUGAUGUUCUCAGCAACAUCUUCUUGGCUAAGCAUAAGCCUGGUUAUGCACAGCUUUGUAAUUUCUUUUUGCAGGGCCAUUCAGAUACUUUCAAGUCAUAUUUUAAGUCAGUGUGCUACCUUUAGUAUUACUGCCAAGCUUGUAUAAAUUUUGUUGGCUGUAUGAAUGCAUUUUGUGUUACUGACCAGUAGGCCUUGGCAGUUGAAGGGGCGGGGCUUACCAGGAUGCAGGACUGGAAAUGUGAAUAUUGGGAAGUUCCCCAAAACUAUACAUAUUGGUCCCCUACCUGGAGAUGUCUCUUUCUAGAAAGAUAAAAUGCAGGCUGAAUUUAUGACAUCUUUUCAAAGCAAGGAAAGUAUGUUCAAGUCCCCAUGUUUAUAUUUUCAUUUUAUAUAACUGAAACAUAGAAUCUUAUUAAUUUGUUAGUUAAUCUUACUAUUUGUUGAUGGGUCUUUUGUAUAAUUUCAAGUUACAACACAUAAUUAAAGCAGUGCAAUUUGAAAACCAUGCAGGAUUAAAGGAGUAAUUUUUUUUUCAAGGAAAUAGGGCUUAUUGAAUUCCUACUAAUAGCUUUUUACUU
rnacentral:lncRNA from 1 species